UUUGCAUUGUAAAACAUUUUUGUCAAUAACUCAUCUUUUUGUAGAUGAGGUAAAAUUGUGGAUUUAUCAAAAGCUAAGAAACAAAAGCAUGUAAAUAUGAACAAAUACAUCAUAAUUACUUUGUGCUUUGUAGCAGCUUCUUAAAUUCACAAAUGAAAAAUCAAGUUUUUUAGCAAUGCUCCAACUAUUUUGGAUAGCAGUGGAUUAAUCAGCAAGAUGGAGUCUUGGGCAUCCUUAGUUUUAAUUCCAUCAUAAAGGUUUAAUUGAUCUGGCUUUCCUGAACAACGGUUUACAGUAAAAUACCAUACCACUUAAUUUCUGAAGCACUUAAGAAAAACAUAGUUGACCAAAAUGCUGUACAAAAAAUAUAUGAGAGAGAACAGGAGUAAAACAAAAUCCCCUCUAAGUUAAUACAUAGGAGCUAUACAAAUGUUAAAAUAGCACAGGUACAUACAAUGGGUAAAAGAUUAGGACACAGAUGACAACUCACACUGGGGUAAAAGCUGGUGAGAAAAAGUGUGUUUUAAAAUGUGUUUUAAAAACAGCACGGGCUGGAGUCUACCUGGCCUGUAGCAGCAGCUCAUUGCAUAUUUUAAGAGCCAAAAACUCCUCUAGAUUUAUAAAAUGUCUUUGGGACAGUCAAAAGCUUUGUGUCAGCCCAUCUAAAAGCACACAUUGGCGUGUAAUGUGUAGCAGCUCAGAGAAAUAGGAAGGGGCAAGACCAAUCAGUGUUGGGGUCUGGGAGCUUCUGUUUGUUUUGGCUGCUAUUAACUCUGUUUGGACACUAUAGGUCACCGGAGCCGCGGUGUGGAGGAGCACAGGUGCAGCACAUUAUCUCAUCUCCAGUGCUGUAUAAAGGCAGCAGACUGUCAGCACUUCAACGCCUGAGUGUUUGCCUUCAUGGUUAUCUCCAAUCCCCGGUUCAAGCCCUCAAGCUUCUCCUGAUGAUUCAAGUUUCCAAAUCUUCAAGUUUCCAUUGUCGACUCAAGCUCCAGCAGACAGCCUCAAGCCUCUUUGGACUCACUGGUUUCCGGAACCGAACCUUGCUCUCCCUUCGAUGUCCACACCACCCACCAAGUUCCUCCUCCGGCAAACCACCAUUAAGGGUCACAAUACUGUACCACUAACUUCACUACUGGCAAUCCCUCAACCUCAGAGGAACAAACUCCCACAGCUGACUACACUCAUCAUUCAGCGCCUCAUCCAGGCUCCCGGAUUCCAACCGUUUACCCUCCGUCCCGGACUGAACUCCUUCACCUACCAGCAAGCAAAUCAGCCUUACUAAAUAAUAUCUUCUCACUUGAUAAAAGCAUGGAUCAGUGUCUCUAGGUGGUAUCUAGACAGGAGGGGCUUAAUUUUUAACAGCCAGCUCAACUUAAAGAAUGAGGACUCAACCAUGGUGUUGACAUGUGAGCCGGGUUUUAUGCUGGGGUUCUAAUUCACAUCUAAAUUAGUGAUGCUGGAUUUUUCAUACAAUACCAAAGGGGAAACGUCAAAAGAAGGUUUACAGCUGGAGUCACUGAAUUUAAAAAGCAUGACGUCACCUGUUUUUACAUUAGAAUUAAGUAAAUUUAGUGCCAUCCAUCUCCUGAUGUCAACAAGCCAAUCAAAGAGAUUUUACAGGGAAAUAGACUUGACAUUCAUUAGCAUAUAAAUUAAAUGGCAAAAAAUAACAUGUGGCAGCAAAUAAA